UUGUUGGUAAGGUAAAAGCUUACCAAGGCUUCGAUCAGUAGCUGGUCUGAGAGGACGACCAGCCACACUGGGACUGAGACACGGCCCAGACUCCUACGGGAGGCAGCAGUGGGGAAUUUUGGACAUGGGGGCAACCCUGAUCCAGCCAUGCCGCGUGAGUGAAGAAGGCCUUCGGGUUGUAAAGCUCUUUCAGCCGGAACGAAACGGUUACGGUUAACACCCGUGACUACUGACGGUACCGGAAGAAGAAGCACCGGCUAACUACGUGCCAGCAGCCGCGGUAAUACGUAGGGUGCGAGCGUUAAUCGGAAUUACUGGGCGUAAAGCGUGCGCAGGUGGUUUUGUAAGUCAGAUGUGAAAGCCCCGGGCUCAACCUGGGAACUGCGUUUGAAACUACAAGACUAGAGUGUGGCAGAGGGGGGUGGAAUUCCGCGUGUAGCAGUGAAAUGCGUAGAGAUGUGGAGGAACACCGAUGGCGAAGGCAGCCCCCUGGGUCAACACUGACGCUCAGGCACGAAAGCAUGGGGAGCAAACAGGAUUAGAUACCCUGGUAGUCCAUGCCCUAAACGAUGUCAACUAGUUGUCGGGCCUUUACGGGCUUGGUAACGUAGCUAACGCGUGAAGUUGACCGCCUGGGGAGUACGAUCGCAAGAUUAAAACUCAAAUGAAUUGACGGGGACCCGCACAAGCGGUGGAUUAUGUGGAUUAAUUCGAUGCAACGCGAAAAACCUUACCUACCCUUGACAUGUAUCGAAGCCCGCAGAAAAGCGGGGGUGCCCGAAAGGGAACGAUAACACAGGUGCUGCAUGGCUGUCGUCAGCUCGUGUCGUGAGAUGUUGGGUUAAGUCCCGCAACGAGCGCAACCCUUGUCAUUAAUUGCCAUCAUUUAGUUGGGCACUUUAAUGAGACUGCCGG
rnacentral:rRNA from 1 species